UUGGCGGUGGGGUCCACCUCACGGGUGACCACCAGAUAGUUGCGCAGCGCGACGGCGUGCAGGUGCUC
rfam:Mycobacterium neoaurum VKM Ac-1815D, complete genome.